rnacentral:rRNA from 1 species
CAGUCGCCGCGGUAAUACAGAGGGUGCGAGCGUUAAUUGGAUUUACUGGGCGUAAAGCGUGCGUAGGCGGCUUUUUAAGUCGGAUGUGAAAUCCCUGAGCUUAACUUAGGAAUUGCAUUCGAUACUGGGAAGCUAGAGUAUGGGAGAGGAUGGUAGAAUUCCAGGUGUAGCGGUGAAAUGCGUAGAGAUCUGGAGGAAUACCGAUGGCGAAGGCAGCCAUCUGGCCUAAUACUGACGCUGAGGUACGAAAGCAUGGGGAGCAAACAGGAUUAGAUACCCCCGUAGUCCCUGUCUCUUAUAC